AUCGAUGCCAUUCUCAUCCUUUUUCAUCGUGAUAUAAGGGAAGGGAUAGUAAGUCAGCGUUGGAGCAGGAGCAGUGGACGCGGGCGCUCCGAGAGUAUACGAGGUCUGGAAGGGAAGAGUAAGUCAACGUUCAUCUGUUUCGUCGAAGUUUGAUCGUCGCUUCUCGAGAUUGUUGUUUGGGGGAAGAUAUUGGCGGUUGGGUCACCUGCUCGCUCCUGUAUUCUGUCCUGACAAGAAAGAGAAGUUGGUACAGGAUUUGUGGUUUCCUCUAAAGGCAAUCAGCAUAUCGUCUGCAAACAUAAGAGAUAAGUUGGAAUGUGAAUCUGGAGUGUCAUCUAAUUUCUAGUUCUACACCUUGUGUGUGAAAUUUAAGUUUCUCAAUUUUUGACUUCGUUUGAUUGCCAUCUAAAAUGAAAAUCCAAAUAGAAACCCCUGUUGUGUAUGAUUCUGUCAGUAAUUUAAUUCAGUACCAAGUUCCUUGUUCGUCACUGAAAAGGAAUUUUUGUUGUGGUGUUUAGUUUUAUGAUGCUGUCUUAUUAAUGCGUUAGUUUUUGUAUAGUUAAAAAGGAGGGAGGAAACAAUUUGCACAACAGUUUAACUCAUUGUUCAGCAUUGCAUUUCUGUAACAUGGUAUUAAUUAUUGGGAUGCUUAAUUUCUGUGAACGGAUUGGUCGUUCUUCUGCAGUCCAUUUCCAUUAGAACAACCAUAAUGUGAUAACUAGGAUGCUUAAUUUCUGUGAGGUCUACUCUGAUAUAUACUAGACGGUGAUUUACAACAACAAACAAAUACUACAAUUGUUCAUACUACUCACUUUGUUAUUUCAUGUUACUUUCAAAGAAAAAGCAAAUCAAGAGCACCUUAUGACCUACUAAAGGCUUCGUAUAUCCAUUUGGUUUCCUGUUUUGAGUCUCUUGAAUAAUUGCAGCAUCUGAGAAGAAACCAAUGUGUAUUUAUGGUGUAUUUACCAUGAUAGCCUGAUACAAUAUGAACAGAGCUGACCCUAUUUUUCCAUUGGAGAACUUUUGAGUAGAUUGAAGAUGUCAUUGGUGUAUCUACGGUCUAAAAUAGAAACUUAAAGUUAACUCUUGGGAUUUUUUGUAUUCGUCCGCAAGCUUUUAUCAAUAUUUAUUGUUGUUUUUCUUUUAGUUUUUUGUGCAUCAACUUGCUUUCCUACUUGCUUUAGUCUAGUAAUCAUAUUAUCGAGAACCUUAAAUCCAUGACCGUAUCUUUCGUGCAUUUAGUUAUAUCAGAGCUAGGGUUUUCACGUAUUGGUUCUACUUGUACCAUUAGGUCCUGUAUAUUAUCUCAUAGAACUUAGUUUAAUUCCUUUCAAGCUCAUCCUAUAUUUUGCUUGGAUUUACAGUGCCAUAGUAGGUACACCAGUAAAUCCUUUAUUCUCAUCGGUUUUCCUUUCGUUUAGUCUUCUGUUACCUCAUUUGCCUUUUCAUUAUCAUUUUAUAAUGCCUAGACCUAUUAUUAGUUUCUACUUUCUAAAUCUGGGUUUUGUAUCGAAUGCAAAGGAAAUAUUUUGGAAGAGCAACUGCAUUUUCCCUUUCUAUAUUUUACUAGAAAGGAUUCCUUUUAUGAUACUUAUAGGUGCCAUUGAUAUGGCUAUGUCAGCAUGCCACGAAAGUGUAAAGAAUGGAAAUAAAGGGUGUAAGGUCUCGGGAGGUCUAGAUUGGUGGUGAAUGAAAGAAGGAAAAGGAGUGAGAAAAAGAAUGAAUAGAAGGAAAAAGAAAAUAGUGACAGAAGAAUAAGAGUGGUGAGAGUCUUACCUGUCUUUCUAAAUUAAGAUUGGUGGUGCCAAAGGAUCACUGACAAUUAGGAAAGCUUAUUUGCCUAUAAAGCCGAAAAAGGGGUAAUGCUAACACUAACCACCAUUGAGAAAUUGAACCAAGAUGUAUCAUGGUUAUUCAGGUCAAUACUCUUAUGGAGGCCAAACCCCAAGAGAGUGUAGCCUAACACUGCCUAGCUUACCCAAUUAACCUCAUAUACAGUGAGAGUAAAUGAUUUUUUUCUGAAGUUUUGAGCUAAGCCUAGUACCAAAACCAAGUUAUUGUCCCAAGCUUGGUCCUAUAUAUUCUUCGACCUGUGUGCAAGUCUUUGUGGGUUGUUAUAUUGUUAUUGUAUAAGUAUAUUUUGCGUGUAAUGAAAUGUUGUCGAUAAAUUUGAAUUGAUAUAUCAUGUAAACGUUUAAAAGACCUCUCAUGUUUGGGAUUUUAGAAUGUUAAGUUUAGUUUUCUGACGAUAUGAACUUGUGGUAAAUGGUUGGUUUUGCGAUUGCAUAGAUUCUCACACUGAUGGAUUUAUAAGUGUGGUUAAUGUUUUGUUAAGUUGGUUUUGAGUUUCUUGAAUUAUCGAGUGAUGUGAUGUAUGAUUAUAAACUGCACAGGUUAUAUAUAUAUGAAUAAUAUUUGAAUACUUUUCAGUGCCCUCAAAUGUUGGUUUGGAUCCCGGAUUGAUGUUGGUCCUAUAUAUAUUUUUACUUGUGCAAGCCCUUGUUAUUUGCAUAUAUGUAUCCAAAUAGAAGGAAUUAUGUUUCUAUGAUUUUGUUUGAUAAUAUUUUGGUUAGACAAUUGAUAAAAACUUUAGACACUGUUAUGAACGAAGACCUAAUCCGUACAACAACAGAGGAGAGCUAACCCGUACAACAGAGGAUCGCAUAUUGGUGGAGAAUUUCAAAGAGAUUUUCUUUAUGAGUAUUCUUCCCUCGAGGAACAAGAUCCGUGCAGGGGUACUACAAGAACAAAUAUUUCAACCAAAUUCUGGAGGUGGAGGUUUCAUGAGUCCAAACAAAGCAGUGGAGAUGGGUAGGAAGCUUAUGACUUGGGAUGAAUUAAAAGCAGUGACACAGAUUCGUGAUCUUGAAGGUCCUAUGCAAUGCAAAGAUGGAGGAUUGCAGGGAUGAUGACCUUGGUGAAGCUUCACCAGAUAUAACUAGGGGAAUUGCAUGCUGCACUGCACCAUUGGCCCUCCAGUUAGGGCAAAGGUGGAAGCUGGGAGAGAAUACAGGAAGUAGGUCAGGCAGUGGGUAUGGUACCAGCAACAUGGCUGCAGGAAACUUGCAUGGCACUCAGACAGUGACAUACUUGAAAACAGGGUUCUUGUAGAUGUGGGAUGUGCAUUAGGAUAGGCCUGUUGCUCUUAAUAAGAUUUGAUUUGCAAGCAACCCAAUGUAUAUGUAAGUAUAUAUAAUGUUUGCAAUUGUGAUUUUAUGAAAAGUUUUUAUUCAGUUGGUCC